rnacentral:rRNA from 1 species
CGUAAAAGCGCAUGCAGGUGGUUUGUUAAGUCAGAUGUGAAAGCCCGGGGCUCAACCUCGGAAUUGCAUUUGAAACUGGCAAACUAGAGUACUGUAGAGGGGGUAGAAUUUCAGGUGUAGCGGUGAAAUGCGUAGAGAUCUGAAGGAAUACCGGUGGCGAAGGCGGCCCCCUGGACAGAUACUGACACUCAGAUGCGAAAGCGUGGGGAGCAAACAGGAUUAGAUACCCUGGUAG